GUGAUUAGGCUAACUUUACGUCUGGCACAAGAUUGUGCAAACUUCAUGGAGUGUCCUAGGAAAACUGAACUCACAAAUUGAUGGGUGCACAUCGAAUUAGUCUUUCAUAUAAAUUAAACAGUAUUUUAGUAAAAUGCAAUUGACUAUUCCUCUUUAUCACAUGGGAAUGAAAUAAGACAUGGCAAUGCAUUAUACUAUAAGUUGACUUUUUUCAAAAAACUGUUUAAUUCAUGCAGCAAACUAAUUCGAGAUGCAUUGAUGAAUUAGUUUUUUGAGGUUUUGGGGUGCACCUAGUAAAGAAGUAAUUGUAAAGUUUCGCUUCUCAAGUCUUACCUUGCGCAGCAACAACAGUCAUCACAGAAACGUCAUCAUAAUCUUUUUCUAUUUUCAUUUCUUUUUGUAAUUCAGUGCACUGUGCACGAUAAGGUGAUAAAACAAGGAUGUUCUUUCCUUUAACGCCAGAUUUCAUGAGAUAAUGUAGAACAGAAAUCUACAAAAAAUUGUGAAACCAAUGAAAAUGUGCUAGCAAAACGGUUUCGUGCAUUAGAGAAGUGACAUGUGAAGUUUGUCAUUACAUUGGCAGGCAAUUACAUCUGUAAAACUACAUGCAAUUAAAAAUUGAAAAUUUUGCAAGGGCGCUCAACUUUAUUGCAGGCACUGCGCGCCCUCGCAAUAUUUUCAAUUAGAUAUCAAACAGAGAAGUUUCGAUAUAACAGUGCUUUUUUAAAGCAACAUGUUUUAAACUAGAAGAAAAUUAGAGUUUAAGAACAGAACUGCUCUAUCGUAUGUACAGUUAAAUUUUUGUCAUGGCACGUGAAUGUGGUGUUAUCAAACCAGUUCAUCAUAACAGUGGUUUACUCUAAGGAUACCCUAGCUACUCAAGUUCGGUUGUGGACAAGCAGUUCCUAGAAUGACCUGUAAAAAUAGCAGUGACUAUGCUAGAGAAAUUCUAACCCAGCUCAAUGAAACAUGACUGGACUGGACGGCAAGAUGUUUGUUACUAAGAGCUAAAAAUACUUUCAACGAAGACGAUAUCUAGAACAUGCACAUCUUGUGAAAGGACCAAGCACCGACACCUUGGAGUGAAGAUUUCCUCGAGAUACGGAUAAAUGAACUUAUUUCAGUCUGUAAUUUAUUUUGGAAAAAGUUUUAUGUAAAACUGUAAUAUAUUUAUGUAGCUUUAAAUUUUAAUUAUAAUUUUUUUAAAAAAAUUGCAAAGUUUAAGCGCAAAUAUAAAUUUUUGAGACACGGAGAUCGAGCUCUUUUUGAGACCUGGCAAAAAAAUUUUUCUAUCCAGACUUUCUAGCCAUUAAAUAACAUGUGCACAAUAGAUAGUACUCAAAUAUAUAACAUAAAAAAAGUAUACAAAUGCAAGAUAUAGUACGUAAAAUAAACAUUUAGCCUUACUUACAA